GUGUAAUAUCGACUCUGUUGAAUAAAGUUCUAGGUGGAUUUAUGAUAAUGACAUUUUCUAUCUAUGUGUCUUGACUAAAUUACGUGCCAGCAGUCGCGGUAAUACGUAAAAGACUAGUGUUAUUCAUCUUUAUUAGGUUUAAAGGGUACCUAGACGGUUAAUAAAGCUUGUCGGGAGAUGAGGUACUGAUUAACUAGAGUUAUAUGUAAGGGAGCUUUAAGGUACUGUUGAGUGUAGAGAUGAAAUUCUAUCAUACCAGAUGAUUGGCACGGGUAUAGGCGAAGGCAUCUUCUUAUGUAAUAACUGACGUUGAAGGACGAAGGCCAUUACAGUGAACAGGAUUAGAUACCCCAGUAGCCCGGGCAGAAAAUGAUGAAUGUCAUAGGUUAGAUAUUAUUUGGUCUAUAAAUGAAAGUGUAAGCAUUCCACCUCAAGAGUAAUUUGGCAACAUUGGAACUGAAAUCAUUAGACCGUUUCUGAAACCAGUAGUGAAGUAUGUUGUUUAAUUUGAUGAUCCACAAAGAACCUUACCACAACUUGAAUAUUAAAUUUAUUUUUUUUUACAAGCGUUGCACGGCUGUCUUCAGUUAGUGUCGUGAGAUUUUGGUUUUCCAUAAAAUUAACGUAAACCCUUACUUUAUUUAUAGAUAAUGUUACUAUCCGGAAUAUAUGGAUAUGAUAAGAGGGACUAAGACAAGUCAUCAUGGCCUUUAUGUUGUGGGCUAUA
rnacentral:rRNA from 1 species